rnacentral:rRNA from 1 species
GUGAGGAAUAUUGCACAAUGGACGAAAGUCUGAUGCAGCGACGCCGCGUGGGCGACGAAGGCCUUCGGGUCGUAAAGCCCUUUUGGCAGGGACGAGUGAGGACGGUACCUGCAGAAUAAGUCUCGGCUAACUACGUGCCAGCAGCCGCGGUAAAACGUAGGAGGCGAGCGUUAUCCGGAUUCACUGGGCGUAAAGCGCGCGUAGGCGGUCGGGUAAGUCGAAUGUUAAAGCCCCUGGCUCAACUAGGGGAGCCGUUCGAUACUGCUCGGCUUGAGGGUGACAGGGGAGAGUGGAAUUCCCGGUGUAGCGGUGGAAUGCGUAGAGAUCGGGAGGAACACCAGUGGCGAAGGCGGCUCUCUGGGUCACUUCUGACGCUGAGUGCGCGACAGCGUGGGGAGCAAACGGGAUUAGAAACCCUAGUAGUCC